rnacentral:rRNA from 1 species
AUGAAUGCUGGCGGCGUGCCUAAUACAUGCACGUCGAGCGAACAGACGAGGAGCUUGCUCCUCUGACGUUAGCGGCGGACGGGUGAGUAACACGUGGAUAACCUACCUAUAAGACUGGGAUAACUUCGGGAAACCGGAGCUAAUACCGGAUAAUAUAUUGAACCGCAUGGUUCAAUAGUGAAAGACGGUUUUGCUGUCACUUAUAGAUGGAUCCGCGCCGCAUUAGCUAGUUGGUAAGGUAACGGCUUACCAAGGCAACGAUGCGUAGCCGACCUGAGAGGGUGAUCGGCCACACUGGAACUGAGACACGGUCCAGACUCCUACGGGAGGCAGCAGUAGGGAAUCUUCCGCAAUGGGCGAAAGCCUGACGGAGCAACGCCGCGUGAGUGAUGAAGGUCUUCGGAUCGUAAACCUCUGUUAUUAGGGAAGAACAAAUGUGUAAGUAACUAUGCACGUCUUGACGGUACCUAAUCAGAAAGCCACGGCUAACUACGUG